rnacentral:rRNA from 1 species
CUACGGGGCGCACCAGUGAGGAAUAUUGCACAAUGGGGGGAACCCUGAUGCAGCAACGCCGCGUGGAGGAUGACGCAUUUCGGUGUGUAAACUCCUUUUAUAUGUCAAGAAAAUGACGGUAGCAUAUGAAUAAGCACCGGCUAACUCCGUGCCAGCAGCCGCGGUAAUACGGAGGGUGCAAGCGUUACUCGGAAUCACUGGGCGUAAAGGACGCGUAGGCGGGCUUGUAAGUCAGGUGUGAAAUCCUACAGCUUAACUGUAGAACUGCACUUGAAACUACGAGCCUAGAGUAUGGGAGGGGGAGAUGGAAUUAGUGGUGUAGGGGUAAAAUCCGUAGAUAUCACUAGGAAUACCUAAAGCGAAGGCGAUCUCCUGGAACAUAACUGACGCUAAGGCGUGAAAGCGUGGGGAGCAAACAGGAUUAGAUACCCUUGUAGUC